rnacentral:tRNA from 1 species
AUUUAAAUAGUUUAAUUAAAAUUUUAGCUUGUGAUGUUAAAGAUAUAUUUAUGUAUUUUAAGUA